GACGAACGCUGGCGGCGUGCCUAAUACAUGCAAGUCGAGCGAACUUUUAGCUUUCUUUCGGGAAAGCCCUGAGUUAGCGGCGGACGGGUGAGUAACACGUAGGCAACCUGCCGGUCAGAUCGGAAUAACCCACGGAAACGUGAGCUAAAACCGGAUAGAGGAGAGCUUCGCAUGAAGCACUCCGGAAAGGCGGAGCAAUC
rnacentral:rRNA from 1 species